UCUGGCUAAUACCUGGAGUCCAUGACGGUACUGUAAGAAUAAGCACCGGCUAACUACGUGCCAGCAGCCGCGGUAAUACGUAGGGUGCAAGCGUUAAUCGGAAUUACUGGGCGUAAAGCGUGCGCAGGCGGUUUUGUAAGACAGAUGUGAAAUCCCCGGGCUCAACCUGGGAACUGCCUUUGUGACUGCAAGGCUGGAGUUUGGCAGAGGGA
rnacentral:rRNA from 1 species